rnacentral:lncRNA from 1 species
CGCUCUGACAUUUCCACCACAAUGUCUCAGUCAGAGACGUGUUGCAUUUGUGGGGUGAGGUUUGUGAGGGGGCCCAAGGGUUACAACAGGAGGAAAGUCACCACGCUGACCAGCCCCAAGACCUUCCAGCUAGUCUUUCACAUCACUCCUGAUGACUCCUCCUUCCUCUGCUGGGUCUGUCUUGGUGUGCUCAGAAGGAAAACCAAGCAGGAUGGGAAGCUUUGGACUUGGUCAGAUUUGCCAACAAAAGUUGGCAGACCUCGAAAGCCCCGUGCCGAAAUACCAAGCUCAUCCACAACUUUACCCAAUCAAACUCCAAUUAUAACCAACCCAUCCUCUUUAUCCAUAGAAGAGUGCAUUGCUUCUAAAAAAAACAAACGGAGGACAGUUCGUCAGUGGGACGGGGAAAAAUGGACCACCUUGACUUCUUGUUCCCCAGAAUCCCAUUCAACAACCGUCAGACGACCUCCAACGCCCAUAGCCCCAACCACACACUCUUCAACACCAUCAAAACAAGUAAAUUCCUCAGCAUUAUCAAGUCAAACUUCAAAUCAGAUCAGUUCCCUGUUCUCCUUUGGAGAGCGGACAACAAAAAGACAUCCGAAGGCGCCCCAAUCUACAACACACUCCACACUCCUGUCUCCGGUCCCCGUUGACGAAGGUAUAAGGCCCAAGAAGAAGAAGCUCCCUUUCUCCAAGACUAAGCAGAGCUAUGGGUUUGGACCUCAUGCCAAGGCCCUGUAUUACAUGAACAGCCACCAGCACCUGAAGGCCUUCAGGUCCUUGAUGAAGACCAAAGCUAGAGAAGCCAUGACCCUUUUCCUCACCGAGGUCAUCGCCCAGGAGAGUAAGGUAUUGAUGAAGGACCAACGUGGGCCGCUGCGUCAGCCGCUGACUGAGGCAAGUGUGAGUGGGUUUUCCUGGGACACGGUUCUAGCGUGGGGGGAAGAAAAGGCCCCUAUGACCCUGGCCUGUCUUAGGGCCAUGUUCCCCAAACCCAACACCAUCAGGACAGGGGUUAUGAUGGGAGCAAGGAAAACGAAACGCCCGAGGACAGAAGAGGAGGCAGGUGAUGUCGUCAGCCAGAGGGCGGGGCUUAUCUUGGCCAUCGUCCUCUACACCUCCAUGCAGAAGUGCAACUUCAUCCAGGCCUCUCUGGGGGUCGAGUUCUGGAAACAGGGCUGUCCUCUCAGUGUGUUCAAAGCCCUCAGUGCCCUGGGGGUGUGUCCCAGUGCUGCCUCCACCAGGAGACAUGCAGAGAGGCUGAUAACCGGCUUUGAUCCACCUCAGCAGGACCGGACAGAGGGGGUGGAGGAGGAGCCUGGGGACUCCUUUUGUAGAUCUGAGGAUGAGAGUCGGACUCUGAGUUGUUCUGAAGAAUAUCCCAGUUCCUCCCCAACCCACUCUCUGAACUGGUUCUCGGACCAAUCCCACUCCAGAGACGGGUCCUCGUCCGAUCGGAGUUCCAGACCUGACUCCAGAUCUCGCUCCAGGAGCGACGACUAUCAAGGCCCUACUCAGAGGCCUGACUCCCGGGAGUACCAGAAUCUGAUCAAAGAACAUGGUUACCACAAAGUCCAGAAACCUACAUUGAGUCGAUGGACGAAGAACAGUGAGGACAACAGGGAGGCAAAGGAAAAACCUGUUCAAAAUCUCAAGAGAAGGAUGAUGACGAAAAGGAAACCUGCUCAAUCGCCUCCAGUAGUAAACGCAACUGGCGCGCACCGAUCAGACACGGAGACUUCUCAAGUAAGUAAGGUAAACAUGGAAGUCGUUGAAACGUCUCAAGUAGACAACACACAUAUGGAACCCGUUCAACUCAGCGAUACAAACAAGAAACCUGCUCAUAUAAGUGAGACAAAUGUACAACUUGCUCAAAUGUCGGAAAUGAGCGAGACAAACAUGGAACAAAUUAAAAUGCCCAAAAGAGGCAGGCCAAGGAAGGAACUUGCUCAAAUGUCUGUAAUGAGCGAGACAGUCAUGGAACAAAUGAAGAUUCCUAAAAGAGGCAGGCCAAGAAAGGAACUUGCUCAAAUGUCUGUAAUGAGCGAGACAAACAUGGAACAAAUUAUAAUGCCCAAAAGAGGCAGGCCAAGGAAGGAACUUGUUCAAGUAAGCAAAACAAACAUAGAACACACUCAAACUCCACAAAUAACCGACACACACUUGGAACCUGUUCACAAGCUCAGAAGUCCAAGGAAGAAACCUGUCCAAACACCCCAGGUAACUGACAUACAAAACAAACCCAUUCAAGUAACCAAUACAGAUAUUAAACUUGCUGAGACAAACAAAGAAUCUGUUGUACAGGCCAAGAAUGGGAGGCCAAAGAAGGGAUUUGUUCAAAUUCCACAAUUAACCGACACUUGCAUGGAACCCAUUCCGGUAAGCGAGGUAAAUGCGGACACCACUUUAAUGCCCAGUAACAUGAGAUCAAGGAAGAGACCCAGACGAGUUCCCCAAGUAUCCGGCACAAACCAGGAAUUAACUCAAAUGCCCAAAAUAACCAAAAUGAACAAGGAAUCCUGCAAAAUGCUUCAGAAAAUGGACACACGCAUGGCACCUGCUGUAACAUCUAAAAGAGGGCGGACAAGGAAGGGGCCAAUUGAAAUGUCUCAAGAAACCGACUUAGACACAGAAGCCGGUCUAAUGCCUCAAGCUGGUGAAAUGAAUCAGCAACGUGUCGAAGGACGGGAAACAAAUAAAGAACCCGCGGAACCCCAACAACUCACUGGAAAGGCUAAAGUAAAUCAGAGCAAUAAAGUACCUGCAAAGACACCUGAAGAACUAGAUCAAAUGGAAUUAAUUCCAAAGCGCAAAAGAGGCAGGCCAAGGAAAGAACUUGCUCAAGUGAUCAACACAAGCAAGGAAACCCCUUCAAUGCAUAAAAUAAGCAAAACAGGCAAAGAACCUGCUCUUACCCGGGAGAUAAAAAUUAUUGUCAAUAGGAUGGAAAGCUGUAGUGCUGCUGAAAUGCCCCAAAUACGUGAGAUGAACAAUGAACCUGUUCAAGUAAGUGCGGAAAACUUUGAACCUGUUCAAAGACUGAGUGGGAAGUCAAUGGAGGGACUCGUUCAAAUGCCCCAAGUAAGCUGCACGGACAUGGAAUCUGGUAAGUUAGGCAGGACCAUCAUGGAAACCACUUCAACUGCAAAAAGGACUGACAAAGAAUCCGUUCAAAGGCCUCAAGCAAACGAAACAAAAGCAGAACUUGCUCAAACGUCUCAGAUAAUGGAAAUGAUAAAGGAACCCAUUCAAAUAACCAACACAGACAAGGAAACCGCUUCCGUGCCCAAAAGAAGCUGCACAGACAUGGAACUUGCUAAAAGGUACAAAAUGAGUGACUUUCAGACCCGGGUAAUAAGAAUAGUUGACACUAGGAUGAGGGCAAACAAAGAAUCGGUUUCAAUUCCUCAAGUACACGACACAAACCAGGACCCUGAACCUGCUGCAACACCUGAAAUAAGCGACACAAACAAACAAUCCACGCGAGUGAUCAGAAUAGUUGUUAACAGGAGGAUACCGGCAGACAUAUGUAGUCACACCCGGAAAAGCCUGGAGUGUCUGGCUGAGGUAGCAGCCAAAUGUGCUCCAUUAGAUGUUAAAUCUGCCGAAGAAGAUGGCUAGGUAGGUAGACGCAUGUUACUUAUCAUUAUAACAAACUUCACAACAUGACGUCUCAGGAAAGAAAAUACAAAUUGUGGAAGGGUAUAACCCUAACCUGAGGGGUGGGGAAUAGUCUGCCUUGUCUUCUUCUGUAUUCGUUUUACUGUAAUUGUACAUACCAGGCCUUUGUUUUAGCAAUUGUCUUCUCCACCUUGUUCAUUUAAUAUGUACAUAAUCCCAGAAACCUUCGUGUUUUUGUCAGUGUCCACUGUGGAUUUAAUGUUAAUCUUAUCCCAUUUUGUAUUUAGUUGUUCUGAUUGUACUUCUGUGGUUGUUGACAAUGUAAUAAAAAUGUAUGUGUUUUGUACAAAGGGAAUUACUGCAGUCUUAGUAUCCAUGCUCAUUUCAGGGUAUUUGUUUUCAUUACAAAUGUCAUUUGACUAAAAGCAGAGACUGUAAACCAAAACAGAUUUGCCCACCAAUCUUUAAGAUAGAAAAUAAAUUGUUAUAAAACAACCACAGCGUUUAUCUUGACUCAAGGCUUUUCCUUUCAUACAGUUUUUGAUGUAUACAUUCUUGCAAUAAUAUCCUGUGGUAAUACUUGUGAUCAUUUUGUGUAUAUUACUGUUGUCUCGUAAAAAUGAAGCUCACAGAAUAAACAGUACAAUUGUAUACAUGGAUAUCAAUGCUUCAUAAUAAAACAUAUUUGAAACUAGAAAAACAACCACAGUGAGAUUCAAG